UACGUAGGGUGCAAGCGUUGCCCGGACUUAUUGGGCGUAAAGGGCGCGUAGGCGGCUCGGCACGUCCGUUGUGAAAUCGCCCGGCUCAACUGAGGAAGUGCAUCCGAAACUGGCAGGCUAGAGUACCAAAGAGGGUCGCGGAAUUCCCGGUGUAGAGGUGAAAUUCGUAGAUAUCGGGAGGAACACCGGUGGCGAAGGCGGCGACCUGGGUGGAUACUGACGCUGAGGUGCGAAAGCGUGGGGAGCAAACAGG
rnacentral:rRNA from 1 species